CAACGCCUGCCCAGUGAACAAUUCAACGGCCGCGGUACCCUAACCGUGCAAAGGUAGCAUAAUCAUUUGUCUAUUAAUUAUAGACCGGUAUGAAAGGCAAAAUGAGGGUCUGACUGUCUCUUAUAGUAAAUCAAUUAAACUGAUCUUUUAGUAAAAAAGCUAAAAUUACAACAUAAGACCAGAAGACCCUGUGAAGCUUAAACUAAACUAUUAAACCAUAUAAUAAUUACUUUCGGUUGGGGCGACCUUGGAAAAAAAAAGAACUUCCAACAAACAUUAAUAGGCCAACAAGCCAACAAAAUAGACCCAGCAAAGCUGAUAAUUGAACCAAGUUACUCCAGGGAUAACAGCGCAAUCUUCUUCAAGAGUCCAUAUCAAAAAGAAGGUUUACGACCUCGAUGUUGGAUCAGGACAUCCUAAUGGUGCAGAAGCUAUUAAGGGUUCGUUUGUUCAACGAUUAAUAGUCCCACGUGAUCUG
rnacentral:rRNA from 1 species